UGUAUUCACUACUGUAAGUCGCUCUGGAUAAGAGCGUCUGCUAAAUUAAUAAAA
rfam:Salmo salar isolate Sally breed double haploid chromosome ssa21, whole genome shotgun sequence.